rnacentral:rRNA from 1 species
GGGAGCUUGCUCCCAUUUCUCAGCGGCGGACGGGUGAGUAACACGUGGGCAACCUGCCCUACAGACUGGGAUAACUCCGGGAAACCGGAGCUAAUACCGGGUAAUACGUAGCAUCGCAUGAUGCAACGUUGAAAGUUGGCCUCUGGCUAACACUGUAGGAUGGGCCCGCGGCGCAUUAGCUAGUUGGUAAGGUAACGGCUUACCAAGGCCACGAUGCGUAGCCGACCUGAGAGGGUGAUCGGCCACACUGGGACUGAGACACGGCCCAGACUCCUACGGGAGGCAGCAGUAGGGAAUCUUCCGCAAUGGACGAAAGUCUGACGGAGCAACGCCGCGUGAGUGACGAAGGCCUUCGGGUCGUAAAGCUCUGUUGUUAGGGAAGAACAAGUACCGUUCGAAUAGGGCGGUACCUUGACGGUACCUAACCAGAAAGCCACGGCUAACUACGUGCCAGCAGCCGCGGUAAUACGUAGGUGGCAAGCGUUGUCCGGAAUUAUUGGGCGUAAAGCGCGCGCAGGCGGUCUCUUAAGUCUGAUGUGAAAGCCCACGGCUCAACCGUGGAGGGCCAUUGGAAACUGGGGGACUUGAGUGCAGAAGAGGAGAGUGGAAUUCCACGUGUAGCGGUGAAAUGCGUAGAUAUGUGGGAGGAACACCAGUGGCG